rnacentral:rRNA from 1 species
UACGAAGGGGGCGAGCGUUGUUCGGAAUUACUGGGCGUAAAGGGCGCGUAGGCGGCGAUCCGAGUCAGAUGUGAAAGUCCUGGGCUUAACCUGGGGACUGCAUUUGAUACUGGAUUGCUUGAAUUCGGGAGAGGAUAGCGGAAUUCCCAGUGUAGAGGUGAAAUUCGUAGAUAUUGGGAAGAACACCGGUGGCGAAGGCGGCGUCCUGGACCAACACUGACACUGAUGAGCGAAAGCCAGGGGAGCAAACGGG